rnacentral:rRNA from 1 species
GGCCAAUGACAUAUUAAGCCAUAUUAAUAAUUUAUGACUUACACUUAAUUAUUAAAAAACCUCUUAUUCUACUCAAAACAAGAGAA